rnacentral:rRNA from 1 species
UCCAGACUCCUACGGGAGGCAGCAGUGGGGGAUAUUGCACAAUGGAGGAAACUCUGAUGCAGCGACGCCGCGUGAGGGAAGACGGUCUUCGGAUUGUAAACCUCUGUCUUUGGGGAAGAAAAUGACGGUACCCAAAGAGGAAGCUCCGGCUAACUACGUGCCAGCAGCCGCGGUAAUACGUAGGGAGCGAGCGUUGUCCGGAAUUACUGGGCGUAAAGGGCGCGUAGGCGGGAACUUAAGUUAGAUGUGAAAACUCCGGGCUUAACCUGGAGACUGCAUUUAAAACUGGGUUUCUUGAGGGCAGGAGAGGAAAGUGGAAUUCCUAGUGUAGCGGUGAAAUGCGUAGAUAUUAGGAGGAACACCAGUGGCGAAGGCGACUUUCUGGACUGUACCUGACGCUGAGGCGCGAAAGCAUGGGGAGCGAACAGGAUUAGAUACCCCAGUA